CAGGCCUGUUUUUCCCAAGAGCCAACAGUGGAAGAUCUCUGAUACUAAUGUAUACCUGAGAAUUUACCAAUUUUGUCUUUAAAGGAGGCCUCCUUAGUGCAAACAAAUCUGUGUUACGUGAAUGUGGCCAGUUUUGCUGCUUAAUGAGUACCUUUGGCAGAAAGGAGAUGAAUAAAGCAGUUAUAAACCUCUCCAAACAAAAUCCAGCCAGCCCAAGACUAUGAUCUAGGAACAGCAUUUGUGGAAUGAGGCAACGAUGGGUUCCAGCAACACUAAACUUGUCAUUUAUACAUAAUUAAAUCUUGCUAUC